rnacentral:lncRNA from 1 species
AGUGCCACUUGGCCCGGAUCUUAGCAGGCAGUGCUGGGAAAUCAGGCCCGGCUGGUUUAAUGAUUGUCAGAGUCUGUCAUCCCGCACCCUCUGGGGUUGGGCACGGGGCACUGGCCUGGGCAGGUGGCGGGAACGUUGCUGGGGUGGGCAUCUGUGCUUUCGGCUGCCCUCUGGCCCAGGAAAUUCCUCCCAGGGGCCAGGCCAGAGAUGGGCCAGGCAGGGGGAGGGCAAGUGAGGGAACAUGAACCCCUGGCUGACCUGAGUCAGAAAGCUGCUGGCCCCUAAAUUCCAGAGAUUCAGCAACAAAGAGGCCUAGUAGGGAGAGGAGUUACUAGGUUUAGGGGUUUUUCCCAGAACACCCAGGACUCUGGCCAGGGGCUGGAAGGUGCUCCAGGCUCAAUGCUGGGCAAUACUCAUGGAUUAAUUGGUGCUGGCUGGGCCUGCCAGCCUAGUCGUGGCCCCAGGGUCCCCACUAAAGGGCUCCUUCUCCAGCGCCCACUCUGUUGGCAAGGUCUUCACUACCAUCACCUGCCUGGACUCCAUCCAAGCAUCAGGGUUGCUGCAGUCGCUCCUGAAGAGACCCGGCUCUGCUUGAAAGUUCUUCCCUCAGCGCCUGCUGGAGCCCUCCCUGCCGGAGUUGCCAGAAUCCACACGGAAUCCACAGAUCUGCCCUGAUGAUCAUGAAGGAAUGCGAAAGAGCCUGGUAAAACGAUAUGGACUUGUGCAAAUGCAAAGCAAUGGUGAAGUCAUCACGAACCGCACAGACUGGACAGAACUCCUAUCUGGCUGCAAUGGCUUGGGUUCAGUCAGCCCAGGGGCCAGAGAAUUGGCUACAAAGAGCUCUGGAGUGCCCCUCCCUCCAAAUAAAGUAUUCUAAGCGUGCACUGAUCAACAUGAAGUUCGCAUUAACUUGGGGCUCCAAGCUCAAUUGAGGGGAGUGGGUGUCAGACAGAGGAGCCUCCUGGACCUGGUUCAAUCUUCACGCGGAGCUUGUUGAGUGGGUUUUCCUCUCCAGUGAUGUCCAUGUGCUGACGCAGCAGAGCCCGCCCCGUUGCAGCCUCCAAGCAGGUGUACGCAGCGCCUGGUGCAGAAUCAAACGUAAGCCUCGGGAAAA